ACUCAUACCUUGCAGGGGAAAUACCAUGGUCAUGAAAGUGGUUUUUCCCAGGGUGAGGCUCAUCCACUGCACUUCAGGUGUGCUGAUCCCUGUGAUUUCCCCAAAUGUAGGGAACUCAACUGCAUAAUUUGUGGUAAUGGGAGAUUGCAUUUGGGCUUUCCCUGG
rnacentral:snRNA from 1 species